AAGCAAUUUGCUCAUAGCCAUAGCUUUCUUGUGAAAGUAGGAUAUUAACCCAGGUGUCUUGGUGCUGGAGAACAGAACUGGCCAGAGUCCAUCCUGUCUCCCACCGGCAUCCCAUUACGAAAUGAACACAGAAAAGGCAGGUCUGCAAUGCCAACAUCUAGUAUCUAUCCCAAAGACCAGGGAGAAAGGAAGGAAAGAUUCUGGUUCUGUCCUCUUCCCCAAGGCAAGGCUGGCUGCCCUACCAACAGAGGCAAAGAGAAGAGUGUGCAAGGCUGGCUGCCCUCCCAACAGAGGCAAAGAGGAGUGUGUGUUGAAAUAUCCAUUGAAUCCCUGAGACAACUGGAUCCUGGCCCAUUGAAUCAUAAACUCAAAUCUCACAUCAUAACCCCAAAUGACCUGUUACUCACCAUGUGGCCCAGCUGUCUUCAAACUCACCAGCCUCCUGCCUUAGCCUUCUAAAUGCUUGGAUUACAGGCAUGACCCACCAUAACUGGCUUUGUUUUAGUUUCAGAGAAGAUGAAACUGAUGUGCGUCAAAAAGUUAUGGAGGCUGGGAAGACCUAGAAUGUGGCAUCACUAUUUGGAAACCAUGCCGAUUACCGACCGAGCUCUCAAUGGAAAAAUGCAGUCGGCGUGAACCACGCACGAACACAGCAGAGAAAGAAGAAAACACACACCACGAGGAACCCUAAUAGGACAAUACAUUAUAAGCCUCAUGGUACAUCCACUUGGUGUGCUGGGAGAGUCAGGAUGAGGACCUGAGAAGAACAGCAGCUUGAACCUGACUUCAUUUAACAGCCCACUGCCCUCUUGCCAAGAACCCAUCACAGACCUUCCCAGAAGAGAGGGAUGAGCCUCACCUAUGAAUAAGUCCUCAGAAACUCAAAUUUGAUUCUAAUGGAUUGUUUUCUCAGAAAGACUGAGCAUGUCCCCCCACAUCUCUGUCAUUUCCCACAGUAGUAACCUCUGCAGAUGCCACAUAGAAAACAAAACAAAACAAAAAAACAUGAGGUUGGUGGGCAGAUAGGCAGGGUAUAAACAAACAGCCUUGUAACCCAGAAGCUGUGUGAUAUACAGUAAACUUCACAACACUGAAAAGAUGUCCUAUCUGUUAAAAUGGGGUAAUAACAACUACCCGAAUGUUUAGGAAUAGAACUUCAAUAAAUGAUACAUUUUAUAGUACAGCAGACCAUCCUGUAAAGGUUUCAUCCUUCACUGUGGUGAUAAAUAUCCCAAACCACAUUGAAAAGCAUUGCAUCUACAUUUAUCUACACUGUAACUGUACUGUAAAUCAUGGGGGAGGGGAGAAUCAUAAAAACACCACCUGUCACCGUGUCAUUAAAGCAAGUUGGAAGUGAUACUUACAGAAACACAGCAAGAGCACCCCCAGUCACACAGUUCAAUCUCUUAGCAAGCGUUUUCUUUCUAGCCCAGUGGUUCUCAGUUUGGAAUUUUUGGCACUGCCUAGAGAUAGUUUUGUUGUUAAAACUGAGAAAAGAGCCGGGCGUGGUGGCACACGCCUUUAAUCCCAGCACUCAGGAGGCAGAGGCAGG
rnacentral:lncRNA from 1 species